GAUGAACGCUAGCGGCAGGCUUAAUACAUGCAAGUCGUGGGGCAGCAGGUUUGUAGCAAUACAGAUGCUGGCGACCGGCAAACGGGUGCGGAACACGUACAGAACCUUCCUUUGAGCGGGGAAUAGCCCAGAGAAAUUUGGAUUAAUACCCCAUAGUAUAAUGAAGUGGCAUCACUUUAUUAUUAAAGAUUUAUCACUCGAAGAUGGCUGUGCGGCUGAUUAGGUAGUUGGCGGGGUUAAAAGGCCCACCAAGCCUGCGAUCAGUAACUGGUGUGAGAGCACGACCAGUCACACGGGCACUGAGACACGGGCCCGACUCCUACGGGAGGCAGCAGUAAGGAAUAUUGGUCAAUGGAGGCAACUCUGAACCAGCCAUGCCGCGUGGAGGAUGAAGGUCCUCUGGAUUGUAAACUUCUUUUAUAUGGGACGAAAAAAGGCUUUUCUAAGUACGUCUGACGGUACCAUAUGAAUAAGCACCGGCUAACUCCGUAGCCAGCAGCC
rnacentral:rRNA from 1 species